CCAGCCGCAGGGGCCACCCGAACAGUCUCUCCUCCUCACAGAAGCCUGGAGCUGGGCAUCCAAGAAGAAGCAGCCUCAUUUGUUUUCUGGUGUCAUCGUAGGUGGCCACCUAUGGCUUUUGGGACCAAAAAGAAGAAUGUACUUCAUCUGGUUGGGCUGGAUUCCCUCUGAUAAGCCUUCCCAGUUGACUGAAAGAUGAGGCUAGGCUCUAGCAAGUUGAAGUCAAACCAGCUCCUUCAAGAAGCUUUGAGCAGAAUGAAGUGGGGAGGACCCAGCUUCCAGCCCAGGAAGCCCACUGUACCUGGAGCCAUCUGGGAUAAGACUUUGACCCAUGACUCCCAUAUCCACAGCCUGUCCAUCCUAGCCCAUCCCAGUUUAUCCUGUAUCAUUUGAGCUGGGAUUCCCACAUCCUCUGAGUUGGAAGUCCCAUCUCAAGUCUUCAAUAAAGACUCUUGAAUAUUGAAUCACAUUAA
rnacentral:lncRNA from 1 species